rnacentral:ncRNA from 1 species
UUAAAAGCUUUGAUAAGAAGGAGUAUAUGUAUCUUUGAAAUAAAGAGAGGAAAUAAAAGGUGAGAGAUUUCCAUGAUGGAUAUGUAGAAGGUAGUCUUGGAGCUUUGAUAUGAACGUCAAAUUGAUUAUUAAGUAUCAACGAAAUUCCAUCGUUAAAGGGAAGUAGUAUCGGCUAAGGCCCGUACUAUAUUAAGAGCGUAUAUAUACGAAUAUAGGUGGUACCGCGGAAAGUAAUCUUCGUCCUAAUU